GCUAAUAGAACGGCUGACGGCUCUACUAGCAGCAUCAGGCUCUGAAGUACAUGUAGUUAUAUAGGAUAUUUUUUUAUACUCGGGGAAAA